rnacentral:rRNA from 2 species
CUGGCGGCGUGCCUAAUACAUGCAAGUCGAACGAACUCUGGUAUUGAUUGGUGCUUGCAUCAUGAUUUACAUUUGAGUGAGUGGCGAACUGGUGAGUAACACGUGGGAAACCUGCCCAGAAGCGGGGGAUAACACCUGGAAACAGAUGCUAAUACCGCAUAACAACUUGGACCGCAUGGUCCGAGUUUGAAAGAUGGCUUCGGCUAUCACUUUUGGAUGGUCCCGCGGCGUAUUAGCUAGAUGGUGGGGUAACGGCUCACCAUGGCAAUGAUACGUAGCCGACCUGAGAGGGUAAUCGGCCACAUUGGGACUGAGACACGGCCCAAACUCCUACGGGAGGCAGCAGUAGGGAAUCUUCCACAAUGGACGAAAGUCUGAUGGAGCAACGCCGCGUGAGUGAAGAAGGGUUUCGGCUCGUAAAACUCUGUUGUUAAAGAAGAACAUAUCUGAGAGUAACUGUUCAGGUAUUGACGGUAUUUAACCAGAAAGCCACGGCUAACUACGUGCCAGCAGCCGCGGUAAUACGUAGGUGGCAAGCGUUGUCCGGAUUUAUUGGGCGUAAAGCGAGCGCAGGCGGUUUUUUAAGUCUGAUGUGAAAGCCUUCGGCUCAACCGAAGAAGUGCAUCGGAAACUGGGAAACUUGAGUGCAGAAGAGGACAGUGGAACUCCAUGUGUAGCGGUGAAAUGCGUAGAUAUAUGGAAGAACACCAGUGGCGAAGGCGGCUGUCUGGUCUGUAACUGACGCUGAGGCUCGAAAGUAUGGGUAGCAAACAGGAUUAGAUACCCUGGUAGUCCAUACCGUAAACGAUGAAUGCUAAGUGUUGGAGGGUUUCCGCCCUUCAGUGCUGCAGCUAACGCAUUAAGCAUUCCGCCUGGGGAGUACGGCCGCAAGGCUGAAACUCAAAGGAAUUGACGGGGGCCCGCACAAGCGGUGGAGCAUGUGGUUUAAUUCGAAGCUACGCGAAGAACCUUACCAGGUCUUGACAUACUAUGCAAAUCUAAGAGAUUAGACGUUCCCUUCGGGGACAUGGAUACAGGUGGUGCAUGGUUGUCGUCAGCUCGUGUCGUGAGAUGUUGGGUUAAGUCCCGCAACGAGCGCAACCCUUAUUAUCAGUUGCCAGCAUUAAGUUGGGCACUCUGGUGAGACUGCCGGUGACAAACCGGAGGAAGGUGGGGAUGACGUCAAAUCAUCAUGCCCCUUAUGACCUGGGCUACACACGUGCUACAAUGGAUGGUACAACGAGUUGCGAACUCGCGAGAGUAAGCUAAUCUCUUAAAGCCAUUCUCAGUUCGGAUUGUAGGCUGCAACUCGCCUACAUGAAGUCGGAAUCGCUAGUAAUCGCGGAUCAGCAUGCCGCGGUGAAUACGUUCCCGGGCCUUGUACACACCGCCCGUCACACCAUGAGAGUUUGUAACACCCAAAGUCGGUGGGGUAACCUUUUAGGAACCAGCCGCCUAAGGUGGGACAGAU